rnacentral:rRNA from 1 species
AUAUUUCCUGCCUGUUUAUCAAAAACAUGUCUUCUUGUUAUAUCUUAGAAGUCUAGCCUGCCCAAUGUUUAAUUAAUGGCCGCGGUACCUUGACCGUGCGAAGGUAGCAUAAUGAAUAGUCUAUUAAUUGUGGUCUGGAAUGAAGGGUUUGACAGGGAAUAACUUUCUUAAGCUUAUAAUUGAAUUUGAAUUAUUAGUAAGAAUGCUAAUUUAAGUUAAAUGGACAAGAAGACCCUAUAGAGCUUUAUAUUUAUUUUGAUUUAUAUGGCAUGCAUAUCAAGUACAUAUUUUGUUGGGGCGACAUUAAAUAAUAAACAUUUAAUUAAUAUUCUUUUUAGGAGGUUUAAUGAUCCAUUAAUAAUGAUAAAAGAUUAAGUUACCUUAGGGAUAACAGCGUAAUUUUAUCUUAGAGUUCUUAUCGAUGAUGAAGUUUGCGACCUCGAUGUUGGAUUAAAAUACCUAAUGGGCGUAGUAGUUUUUUAAGGUAGUCUGUUCGACUAUUAAAUUUUUACAUGAUCUGAGUUCAAACCGGUGUAAGCCAGGUUGGUUUCU